rnacentral:piRNA from 1 species
UCCACUCCCCACAUCAGUGUGAAGAGCCUG